UCAAAAACAUGUCCUUUUGUUUAUAUAAAAGGUCUGAUCUGCUCAAUGAUUAUUUAAAUAGCUGCAGUAUUUUGACUGUACAAAGGUAGCAUAAUCAUUUGGUCUUUAAUUGGGAUCUAGCAUGAAGGAUUGGACGAGAUACAUACUUUCUUUAUUUUUUAAAAAAAACUUAAUUUUUAAGUGAAAAAUCUUAAAUUUAUUUAUAGGACGAGAAGACCCUAUAGAACUUUAUAUUUAUGCUAUUUAUAUAGUUUUUGCUAAUAUAAUUAUACAUUUUUUAUAAAUAUUUUGUUGGGGUGACAGAAAAAAUUUAAUAACUUUUUUUAUAUUUUUUACUUAUGGGUAAUUUUAUGAUCCUUUAUUAAUGAUUAAAAGUUUAGUUACCUUAGGGAUAACAGCGUUAUUGUCUUGGAGAGUUCAUAUUAAUAAGGCAGUUUGCGACCUCGAUGUUGGAUUAAAAUAAGUUUUAGGCGUAGAAUUUUAAUUACUAGGUCUGUUCGACCUAUAAUUUUUUACAUGAUCUGAGUUCA
rnacentral:rRNA from 1 species